rnacentral:rRNA from 1 species
GGUUGCGAUCAUACCAGCACUAAUGCACCGGAUCCCAUCAGAACUCCGCAGUUAAGCGUGCUUGGGCGAGAUUAGUACUAGGAUGGGUGACCCCCUGGGAAGUCCUCGUGUUGCAACCC